rnacentral:rRNA from 1 species
GAUGAACGCUGACAGAAUGCUUAACACAUGCAAGUCAACUUGAAUUUGGGUUUUUAACUUAGGUUUGGGUGGCGGACGGGUGAGUAACGCGUAAAGAACUUGCCUCACAGCUAGGGACAACAUUUGGAAACGAAUGCUAAUACCUAAUAUUAUGAUAAUAGGGCAUCCUAUAAUUAUGAAAGCUAUAAGCGCUGUGAGAGAGCUUUGCGUCCCAUUAGCUAGUUGGAGAGGUAACGGCUCACCAAGGCGAUGAUGGGUAGCCGGCCUGAGAGGGUGAUCAGCCACAAGGGGACUGAGACACGGCCCUUACUCCUACGGGAGGCAGCAGUGGGGAAUAUUGGACAAUGGACCAAGAGUCUGAUCCAGCAAUUCUGUGUGCACGAUGAAGUUUUUCGGAAUGUAAAGUGCUUUCAGUUGGGAAGAAAGAAAUGACGGUACCAACAGAAGAAGUGACGGCUAAAUACGUG